rnacentral:rRNA from 1 species
GACGAACGCUGGCGGCGUGCCUAAUACAUGCAAGUAGAACGCAGUUGCGAACGGGUGAGUAACGCGUAGGUAACCUGCCUCAUAGCGGGGGAUAACUAUUGGAAACGAUAGCUAAUACCGCAUACUGUGAGAUGGACCUGCGUUGUAUUUGCUAGUUGGUGAGGUAAAGGCUCAACAAGGCGACGACACAUAGCCGACCUGAGAGGGUGAUCGGCCACACUGGGACCGGGACACGGCCCAGACUCCUACGGGAGGCAGCAGUAGGGAAUCUUCGGCAAUGGGCGCAAGCCUGAUGCAGCCAUGCCGCGUGUGUGAAGAAGGCCUUCGGGUUGUAAAGCACUUUCAGCGGGGAGGCGUUACCCGCAGAAGAAGCACCGGCUAACUCCGUGCCAGCAGCCGCGGUAAUUC